rnacentral:misc_RNA from 1 species
GAUGAAGAACGUAGCGAAAUGCGAUAAGUAGUGUGAAUUGCAGAAUUCAGUGAAUCAUCGAAUCUUUGAACGCACAUUGCGCCCUUUGGUAUUCCAAAGGGCAUGCCUGUUCGAGCGCCAUUUGUACCCUCAAGCUUUGCUUGGUGUUGGGCGUCUUGUCUCUAGCUUUGCUGGAGACUCGCCUUAAAGUAAUUGGCAGCCGGCCUACUGGUUUCGGAGCGCAGCACAAGUCGCACUCUCUAUCAGCAAAGGUCUAGCAUCCAUUAAGCCUUUUUUUCAACUUUUGACCUCGGAUCAGGUAGGGAUACCCGCUGAACUUAAGCAUAUCAAUAAGCGGAGGA